AUUGAACGCUGGCGGCAGGCCUAACACAUGCAAGUCGAGCGGAGCGGCGGACGGGUGAGUAAUGCCUAGGAAUCUGCCUGGUAGUGAGGGAUAAUGUCCGGAAACGGGCGCUAAUACCGCAUACUAUUGGAUGAGCCUAGGUCGGCUUAGCUAGUUGGUGGGGUAAAGGCCUACCAAGGCGACGAUCCGUUACUGGUCUGAGAGGAUGAUCAGUGAAACUGGAACUGAGACACGGUCCCGCCUCCUACGGGAGGCAGCAGUGGGGAAUAUUUGACAAUGGGCGAAAGCCUGAUCCAGCCAUGCCGCGUGUGUGAAGAAAGUCUUCGGAUUGUAAAGCACUGUAAGUUGGGAGGCGUUACCAACAGAAUAAGCACCGGCUAACUUCGUGCCAGCAGCCGCGGUAAUUC
rnacentral:rRNA from 1 species